GCCUGGGUGGCUCAGUGGUUGAGCAUCUGCCUUUGGCUCAGGUCCUGGGUUCAAGUCCCACAUCAGGCU
rnacentral:tRNA from 1 species